ensembl:lncRNA
AAACAAUGAACAGAGAGGCAGAGAAAUCCGUGUAUGAAUAAUGACUGGCAUUCGUAAGUCCCCGGCAGACUUUGCAUCGUCCGAUCAUCCGGAUACGAUUGCCAUGAGGGAUCUGGCCUCCAAGAACUAUAUGACGUCUACACAAAGGAGCAGAAGAUGGAGCACGCCUACACGUUUGGGGUGAUGGUCUGCAACCAGACCAUACGAUACACCGAGAAGGCGAAGCACACCGAGAAUGUGCGCAGGCAGCAGCUUGAGUGCCUGCGGAGGGAGGUCGAACGACUUGGACAGGAUCUCAGGACAUCCCAGGCCAGCUUGUCUGUUACGCAAACAGAUCUGGACGCCACACAGAACGAAUUCCUGGCCACGCUGCACGAACGCCUCCCAAGAACUGGACUACCUGGACAGCACGACCGCCUCCCAAGAUGCUGAUUCGUCCCAUCCAUUGUGUUCGACGAUGGUCGAUGACAUGGACGAGAACGGGAACGGAGAUCCACUACCAGGCCCCUGAAAAACUACUACCAGGCCCCUGUAAAGUAGUGUAGUUUGAUAUUGUAAAUAGUGUUUUUUUUUUAAUAUAGUGUGACAUUGUAAAUAGUAUGCUUUUUUUUAAACUUCAAUAAAAACUCAAACAUCUGAUAUUGUUUAAUAUUUACACAAAUUACACAAAAAGGAAUGUUUCUCAAUUCGGGUUCUUUUCUGUGCUUGUGUGCUUGCGUUCUUGUG